GACGAACGCUGGCGGCGUGCCUAAUACAUGCAAGUAGAACGCAGUUUCGAACGGGUGAGUAACGCGUAGGGAACUGCCUCAUAGGGGGGGAACACCAUUGGAAAAGAUAGCUAAUACCGCAUACGUGUGUAUGGACCUGCGUUGUAUGAGCUAGUUGGUGAGGUAAAGGCUCACCAAGCCGACGAUACAUAGCCGACCUGAGAGGGUGAUCGGCAAACCGGGGAAUGAGACAUGGCUCAGACGACUACGGGAGGCAGCAGUAGGGAAUCUUCGGAAAUGGACGGAAGGCGGACCGAGUAACGCCGCGUGAGUGAAGAAGGUUUUCGGAGCGUAAAGCUCUGUUGUUAGAGAAGCGGUAACUAACCAGAAAGGGCCGGCUAACUACGUGCCAGCCGCCGCGGUAAUAC
rnacentral:rRNA from 1 species